rnacentral:rRNA from 1 species
GACGAACGCUGGCGGCAGGCCUAACACAUGCAAGUCGAGCGGAGCGGCGGACGGGGGAGUAAUGCCUAGGAAUCUGCCUGUUCGUGGGGGAUAACGUCCGGAAACGGGCGCUAAUACCGCAUACUCUCAGCUGAGCCUAGGUCGGAUUGGUUAGUUGGUGGGGUAAAGGCCUACCAAGGCGACGAUCCGUAACUGGUCUGAGAGGAUGAUCAGUCACACUGGAACUGAGACACGGUCCAGACUCCUACGGGAGGCAGCAGUGGGGAAUAUUUGACAAUGGGCGAAAGCCUGAUCCAGCCAUGCCGCGUGUGUGAAGAAGGUCUUCGGAUUGUAAAGCACUGUAAGUUGGGAGGCGUUACCAACAGAAUAAGCACCGGCUAACUUCGUGCCAGCAGCCGCGGUAAUUC